AAAGAAUAUUCUCAUAAUUUUUCUCUCUACUUUUAUUAUAUGAAAGCAAAAUCAUAUCAUGCAUGUGAAGAUCAAAUGCCUAAGACAAUUUGAGCUUCUAAGAAAGAGCUGCCUUUCCUCUUCAAUUAUUGAUUGAGUCGUUCUUCACAGAGACAGAGGGAUAUUUGAUUCUAAUCUUUGGACGAAGCCAUGGCAGAUAUUAUUGCCAUGUUCGGCAGAUGGGCGAAGUCAGGGUUGUCGGCUCUUUUAGAUGGGUCUUCAUCUUCAUCUUCAUCGUCAUCAGUGGAACCUACACGAGGCAAUGCUUUAGAUGACUUCCAGAGGAUAAUGCGAAUGCUGCCGAGGAUCGAAGCAGUGCUUGAAGAUGCAGAGGAAAGGGAGAUACAAGAUAGAUCUGUGAAGUUAUGGCUUUCAGAGCUUAGGUGCUUGGCUUAUGACAUUGAUGAUGUAAUCGAUGAGUAUGAGUAUGAUGUGCAGACAGCCCAGAUGGGAGCCAGAGCUGUAGAAGAGUCCUACCAUCAUGGCAAGCACAAGCGAGGCGAUGAUGAACGUUAUGGUCAGAGUGAGCACGUGGAAGGUCUUAAUACAUUAGCAUCCUCAUCUUAUCAAGUUCCAGCAAUUUCUGAUGGCAUGGUUGAGAAGCUGAGGGAGAUUCGGGAAAGAUUCGAUGAGAUAGAAAGGGAUCAAAAGGGACUCCGUUUAAGAGAGGACGAUGGCGUGAGGCGAACUGUUAGUGCACAAAAUUAUCGGCUUACUAGCUCUCUCGUCGAUGAAUCAAAUAUAAUCGGGAGAGAGAGUGAGAAAGAGAAGAUAGUGAAGUUAUUGCUCUCAGACUUACACGUGAGCAAUAAAAUUACAGUCAUCCCAGUAGUUGGCAUGGGAGGUGUGGGGAAGACAACGCUGGCCCAACUCAUUUAUAAUGAUCCUAGAAUUCGUCUGUAUUUUGAUCUCCGUAUAUGGAUUUAUGUUUCUGAGGAUUUUGAUCUUGUGAAAUUAACCAAAGAGAUAUAUAGAUCCAUAACUAACAAAUCAUGUGAAGAGCAUGUUAGAUUUGAUUAUCUUCAAGAUUCCAUUAAAAAAGAACUGAUGAAAUUUAAAAGAACAUUUUUUGUGUUGGAUGAUGUGUGGAAUGAGAAGCAAUUUCUCUGGGAGUCCCUAAAAGUCCCAUUUCACAAUGCAGGCAUUGUGAAUAUUUUGUUGACAACAAGAAAUGAAAAGGUUGCAGAUGUCAUGCGAACUAUGAACUACUUUCGUUUGGGCUUUCUUUCCCAACAUGAAGGUUGGAGAUUAUUCAAUCAAUAUGCUUUAUGUGGUGAUGAGAACCUGAUGAGGAUUGGCCAAAAAAUUGUAAACAAAUGUGGUGGAUUACCUUUGGCUAUAAAACUACUUGGAAGCCAUCUUCGAUUUGAAAGAGAUGAAGAUAAGUGGAUGAGUAUCUUAGAAAGCGAGCUUUGGGACUUGGAUCCAGGAACAAAUGAAAUUUUUCCUGCUCUUAAACUGAGUUAUCAAAGGAUGCCGAUUCACUUGAAGCCAUGCUUUAGGUAUUGUUCUUUAUUUCCUAAAAAGAAUAUUCCUAAUAAAAAACGCAUUGUAUGGUUGUGGAUGGCACAGGGCUAUAUCCAACCAAAAAUAAGAGGCAAGACUAUGGAGGAGAUUGGUAGAGAGUAUUUUGAUGAACUCUUGGGGAGAUCGUUCUUUCAAGCAACAAAAUCUACAUACUAUUUUAAGAUGCAUGACUUGAUUUAUGAUUUGGCAGUUUUUAGGCAUGUUUAUUUCCAUUCUAUAUUUUAUUAUGGCAAGAGGAUAAUCAAUGAUUUUCAGCUUUUGGAUUCAACACGCUUGCGAGUACUACAUAUUGAAAUCGAUCAAUUUGAUUCAAAGACUUCAAGGUUUUCUGGUUCAAUUGCCUCAAUGAAGCAUUUGCGCUAUCUUUACAUUCAUACUAAUGGAAUAGAUUUGAGUCCUCUUAGGGGAAAAGUUUUGUUUUCAAGCUUAUUCAAUUUUUUACAUAGUAUUUAUAAUGUGCAAGUGUUGGACUUGUCUGGUAGUGAUGAACCUAUAAUGUUACCAGCAAGCAUAAAAAAUCUAUUCAACCUUCGACAUUUGAUUCUACCAUAUGGUUCUGUCAUGCCAUGUGGUAUAAGCAAGUUAACUUGUCUCCAAACAUUAAGAACUGUAGUUGUAAAGGAUGGAAAUCACGAAGGUGGUGGACUAGGUGAGAUACAAGACUUAGCAAGCCUUACAGGGAGUUGUUGUAUAAAAAAUAUAGGUUAUACAAAUAAUGUUGAGGAUUUCAAGAAGGCAAAUAUUAAUGGGAAGAAGCAAAUUAGGAGACUAUUCAUAUAUUGGGAUGAAUCGUUGAUUCCUUAUAAUGUUUCAUUAAUUGAUGUUCACAUUUAUUUUGAUGCAAAGAAUCAAGUAGAGAAACAAAGUUUUGAGUUGGAAGAGGCAAAGCUUGAGGCAUUGCAGCCUCACAACAACCUCAAAGAAUUAGGGAUAUAUGAUUACCUGGGAUAAUACUCCCAUCGUGGCUUGGUGAUCCUUCGUACUCUAAGUUACAAGAUAUGACCCUUGAUGGAUGUCAUAAUUGGGAUGGAUCAGGUAGAGCGCUGGAUAGAGAUCUCCCAUGUAUUCAAAGUAUUUUCAUCAUGAAUUGUGCUAUGUUAAAAAAUAUAAAAAUAGUGCAGUCAUCCUCACUUAGAAGACUAUUUGUUCAAUUCUGCCCAAAAAUAACAUCAUUGCAUGGGCUAUGUAGUCUGCAUAGACUUGAAAAGUUAGAAAUAAGGGAGUGUUAUAAUCUAUUGAUCUAUGCGGAGGAGAUACUUCCUUCUAAGUUGCAAUUUGUAUGUUUCGAAGAUUGCUUUAAGUUGACAUCAAUACCAGGCUUGCAAAACCUUCGUUCACUUAAGGAAUUGAAGCUAAAUAGAUGCUGGAAACUUGAACUCACUUUGGAAGAAAAGCUUUCAACCAUGCCUAGUACUUUGGAGAUUGUUGAUUGCCCUCGAUUGGAAAAGUGGUGCCAAAGAUAUGGAUUCAAAUAUAUUAAGUCGACACAGCUUUUUCAGAGCCAGACUGGCGUUGAUGAAGAAUCCUCUGUAGGAUCAAUUGAUUAUUCCGACUAUCACAUAUGGUCACUGUUGAAAAGCGAAAUGUAUAAGGAGUGAGUUUAUGGAUUAGGCUCUCAGGUUUACAAAAUCGAGGGACAGUGCUUUGCUUGCUCAAGCUUCUCAGCAAGCACUUGGGAGGGCAUGGUAAGCCAACAAGUUGCUACCCGGAAACCAGCCCUAGAGCAUAUCCAAAAAUCACAAGCGGACAUGCAAAUGUAUUAUACUUAGAUUAUGGAGAUGCUUUAGAGGAUGAGGGAGCAGUUCAAUGGAAAACAACCUGCAGUAACAGAGGAGAGCGAGGAUAUAGAAUAUAAGUUGAUUUUUUGUGAUUAUAAUUAAUUUGUGUUGUUGCUAUUUGAAUGUAUAAGAAACUCUAUGAUUUAUUGCAUGAGUGUUUGAUAAUUGUAUAACUGUUGAAUUUUUGUACUUUUUAAGAAUAUUUUUCUACAAUGUUGAAAUAUUAGCUUAUCUAAA